ensembl:snRNA U2 U2 spliceosomal RNA
AUGGGUUUUGUAAUAAAAAAAAAAAAAAAAAAAAAAUCUGUUCUUAUCAGUUUAAUAUCUGAUACGUUCCCUACCCGGGGACCAUAUAUUAAAUUGAUUUUUGGAGCAGGGAGAUGGAAUAGGGGCUUGCUCCGUCCACUCCACGCAUCGACCCGGUAUUGCAGUACUUCCGGGAACGGUGCACCCCUC